AUUGAACGCUGGCGGCAUGCUUUACACAUGCAAGUCGAACGGUAACAGGCCUUCGGGUGCUGCCGAGUGGCGAACGGGUGAGUAAUGCAUCGGAACGUACCCAGAGGUGGGGGAUAACGCAGCGAAAGCUGUGCUAAUACUGCAUGUGAUCUGAGGAUGAAAGCGGGGGACCGAGCAGCAAUGUUUGGCCUCGCGCCUUUGGAGCGGCCGAUGUCGGAUUAGCUAGUUGGUGGGGUAAAGGCCUACCAAGGCGACGAUCCGUAGCUGGUCUGAGAGGACGACCCGCCACACUGGGACUGAGACACGGCCCAGACUCCGACGGGAGGCAGCAGUGGGGAAUUUUGGACAAUGGGCGCAAGCCUGAUCCAGCAAUGCCGCGUGCGGGAAGAAGGCCUUCGGGUUGUAAACCGCUUUUGGCAGGAACGAAACGGUGUCCGCUAAUACCGGGCGCUAAUGACGGUACCGGCAGAAUAAGCACCGGCUAACUACGU
rnacentral:rRNA from 1 species